ACGCUCGACACCUACGGGGGGCAGCGGUGGGGGAUAUUGCACAAUGGAGGAAACUCUGAUGCAGCGACGCCGCGUGAGGGAAGACGGUUUUCGGAUUGUAAACCUCUGUCUUCAGGGACGAAAUGAAUGACGGUACCUGAGGAGGAAGCUCCGGCUAACUACGUGCCUGCAGCCGCGGUAAUCUGAGCGGGCUGGCAAGGC
rnacentral:rRNA from 1 species